AGCGAACGCUAGCGGCAGGCCUAAUACAUGCAAGUCGAACGGUACAUGUUGUAGCAAUACGAUAUGAGAGUGACGUACGGGUGCGUAACACGUAUGCAACCUACCCAAAACAGGAGUAUAGCUCGGGGAAACUCGAAUUAACACUUCAUAGUAUCAUUUGGUGGCAUCAUUAGAUGAUUAAAACUACGGUGGUUUUGGAUGGGCAUGCGUCUGAUUAGUUAGUUGGCGGGGUAACGGCCCACCAAGGCGAUGAUCAGUAGGGGAACUGAGAGGUUGAUCCCCCACACUGGCACUGAGAUACGGGCCAGACUCCUACGGGAGGCAGCAGUAGGGAAUAUUGGUCAAUGGAUGCAAGUCUGAACCAGCCAUGCCGCGUGCAGGAAGAAGGCCUUCUGGGUUGUAAACUGCUUUUGCCAGGGGAUAAAAUGGGCAUGCGUGCCUAAUUGAAGGUACCUGGUGAAUAAGCCACGGCUAACUACGUGCCAGCAGCCGCAGUAA
rnacentral:rRNA from 1 species